GCGAAGGUGGCGGAAUUGGUAGACGCGCUAGCUUCAGUGUUAGUGUCCUUACGACGUGGGGGUUCAAGUCCCCCCCCUCGCACCA
rnacentral:tRNA from 1 species